rnacentral:tRNA from 1 species
AUAAGAUUAAGUUAUUAAGUUAGACUGGGUGUUUUCAAAACAUUUAGAGAGUUUUAUCAUCUUAUG